rnacentral:rRNA from 1 species
AGCGGAAGGCCCUUCGGGGUACUCGAGCGGCGAACGGGUGAGUAACACGUGAGCAACCUGCCCCAAGCUUUGGGAUAACCCCGGGAAACCGGGGCUAAUACCGAAUAGGACCUGGCCUCGCAUGGGGCUUGGUGGAAAGUUUUUCGGCUUGGGAUGGGCUCGCGGCCUAUCAGCUUGUUGGUGGGGUGAUGGCCUACCAAGGCGACGACGGGUAGCCGGCCUGAGAGGGCGACCGGCCACACUGGGACUGAGACACGGCCCAGACUCCUACGGGAGGCAGCAGUGGGGAAUAUUGCACAAUGGGCGGAAGCCUGAUGCAGCGACGCCGCGUGAGGGAUGACGGCCUUCGGGUUGUAAACCUCUUUCAGCAGGGACGAAGCGGAAGUGACGGUACCUGCAGAAGAAGCACCGGCCAACUACGUGCCAGCAGCCGCGGUAAGACGUAGGGUGCGAGCGUUGUCCGGAUUUAUUGGGCGUAAAGAGCUCGUAGGCGGCUUGUCGCGUCGACUGUGAAAACCCGCAGCUCAACUGCGGGCCUGCAGUCGAUACGGGCAGGCUAGAGUUCGGUAGGGGAGACUGGAAUUCCUGGUGUAGCGGUGAAAUGCGCAGAUAUCAGGAGGAACACCGAUGGCGAAGGCAGGUCUCUGGGCCGAUACUGACGCUGAGGAGCGAAAGCGUGGGGAGCGAACAGGAUUAGAUACCCUGGUAGUCCACGCUGUAAACGUUGGGCGCUAGGUGU